rnacentral:rRNA from 1 species
UGGGGAAUAUUGGACAAUGGGCGAAAGCCUGAUCCAGCCAUGCCGCGUGAGUGACGAAGGCCUUAGGGUUGUAAAGCUCUUUUACCAGGGACGAUAAUGACGGUACCUGGAGAAUAAGCCCCGGCAAACUUCGUGCCAGCAGCCGCGGUAAUACGAAGGGGGCUAGCGUUGUUCGGAAUUACUGGGCGUAAAGCGCACGUAGGCGGAUUGUUAAGUCAGAGGUGAAAUCCCGGAGCUCAACUUCGGAACUGCCUUUGAUACUGGCAAUCUAGAGUCCGGAAGAGGUUAGUGGAAUUCCCAGUGUAGAGGUGAAAUUCGUAGAUAUUGGGAAGAACACCAGUGGCGAAGGCGGCUAACUGGUCCGGUACUGACGCUGAGGUGCGAAAGCGUGGGGAGCAAACAGGAUUAGAUACCCCUGUAGUCCCUGAGCGGGC